GACGGAGGGCGCAAGCGUUGUUCGGAAUUACUGGGCGUAAAGCGCACGCAGGCGGUCUGCUAAGUCCUUUGUGAAAGCCCGGGGCUCAACCCCGGAAUUGCAUCGGAUACUGACAGACUGGAGACAGGUAGAGGCUAGCGGAAUUCCUGGUGUAGCGGUGGAAUGCGUAGAUAUCAGGAAGAACACCUGUGGCGAAGGCGGCUAGCUGGGCCUGUUCUGACGCUCAUGUGCGAAAGCGUGGGGAGCAAACAGGAUUAGAUACCCGCGUA
rnacentral:rRNA from 1 species